ensembl:lncRNA
GAGAGGAGGGCAGAUUGGAAAAGUGUGUAAUCAGAAGUAAAUACUUCUGAGGAGGAACAGGGUCAAAAGAAAGAAUAGAAUAAAUGGGAGGGCAGAAUAGGAUUAAGGGAAAUAGAGUUAGUUUUUCACAACAUGUCUACUAUGGAAGUGUUUUGCAUAACUGCACAUGUACAACCUAUAUUGAGUUGCUUGCCUUUUCAGUGAGAGUGGGUGGGGAGGGAGGAAGAGAGAAAAUUUGAAACCUAAAGUUUUAUAAACAUAUGUUUAAAAAAAAGUUUUCACAUGCUAUCGGGAAAUAAGAAAUACAGGAAAUGUGGUACAGAAGUCUAUCCUGCCCUACAGGAAAAUAGAAGGGGAAGGGGAUAAGAGAUGGGGGGAGAGAAAGAAGAGAGGACAGACUAGGAGAAGGGAUAUUCAGAAUGUAUGCCAUCUAGGGGUGGGGGCAGGGUGAGACUGGGUGAAAAUUUGGAACUCAAAAACUUGUGGAAAUAAAUGUUGAAAACUGCAAAUAAAUAAAUUUAUAUUAAAAAAAAUGAACUUCGUGGUUUCUGCCUCUGUCUGCCCAACACCCAGCACAGGUGCUGGCAGUCUAGAGCAUGCUGAAUGGGUCAAUGAAUGCGGAAUUCAUCGUCCCUGAUGCCAACCUUGACCCGAUGAAGAUGCUCUGAGCACCUCCAGAGCUACGUUCCCAGAGGUUCUUUCCUACAGGCUGGACAGCACCGGGCUUUGAUCAAUUCCGGUUGUGGCCCUGAGAACACCAGGGACAGGGAGAGCUGGCAUGCCUGCUCCCAGCUCCCCAGGCCCUCCUUGCAGCGCUUGGUGCUCUUAUAAAGGAACGAGCUAAAAGAACCCGACGCCCUCCGGGAUCUAGCGGCUCAGCAUUUGGCCACCGGGUCUGGCCGGGAGCGCCCCCUCUGCGGACUCCAUUUCCCUGGCGUCACUCACGCCGCAGCACUUCCGGUGGCCUAGGCGGAACCCCAGGGCAUGCCGGGAAUCUCGAGGUGCGCAGGCGCAGCUGCCCGGAGGGGACUCGGGGGGUUUUUUCAGCCCUUUGUUCUUGGGCUCCUGCUGGUUGAUCGUGGGCAGGGCAGAGAGGUGCGGAGGGAGUCAGUGCGCAGGCGUGGCCCCACCCAGCGCGGCGAGGGAGUCCCUCCUCCUCCUUACCAGUCUGGCCAAAGACUUGCAGGUACCCUGCCAGCUCUGCCUUCUCAGGACUCUGCCCUUCCCCCGAAAAGGACCCUGAAGGAGGAGGAAGCAGCAGACGAAGCAAUGCCUUCUGGUGCCCUGACCAGUGGUCGGUCACAGGUUUCAGAUAAAGGAAUAUAG